UGUGUAGCAAUACACAUGUACAGCGGCGAACGGGUGAGGACUACAUGGGUAACCUACCCUCGAGUGGGGAAUAACUAGCCGAAAGGUUAGCUAAUACCGCGUACGCUUCCAAGACUGCGGUUUUGGAAGGAAAGCGAUACCAUGGGUAUCGCGCUCUUGGAUGGGCUCAUGCCCUAUCAGCUUGUUGGUGAGGUAACGGCUCACCAAGGCUUCGACGGGUAGCUGAUCUGAGAGGAUGAUCAGCCACACUGGCACUGCGACACGGGCCAGACUCCUACGGGAGGCAGCAGUAAGGAAUAUUGCGCAAUGGGCGAAAGCCUGACGCAGCGACGCCGCGUGGGGGAUGAAGGUCUUCGGAUUGUAAACCCCUUUCGGGAGGGAAGAUGGGAUGGGGUAACCCAUUCGGACGGUACCUCCAGAAGCAGCCACGGCUAACUUCGUGCCAGCAGCCGCGGUAAUACGAAGGUGGCAAGCGUUGUUCGGAUUUACUGGGCGUACAGGGAGCGUAGGCGGUUGGAUAAGCCCUCCGUGAAAUCUCCAGGCUUAACCUGGAAAGUGCAGAGGGGACUGUUCAGCUAGAGGAUGGGAGAGGAGCGCGGAAUUCCCGGUGUAGCGGUGAAAUGCGUAGAGAUCGGGAGGAAGGCCGGUGGCGAAGGCGGCGCUCUGGAACAUUUCUGACGCUGAGGCUCGAAAGCGUGGGGAGCAAACAGGAUUAGAUACCCUGGUAGUCCACGCCUUAAACGAUGGAUACUAAGUGUCGGCGGGUUACCGCCGGUGCCGCAGCUAACGCAGUAAGUA
rnacentral:rRNA from 1 species